UACGUAGGCAGCGAGCGUUGUUCGGAGUUACUGGGCGUAAAGGGUGUGUAGGCGGUUUUCUAAGUUUGGUGGGAAAUCUCCCGGCUCAACCGGGAGGGUGCGCCGAAAACUGGGAGACUAGAGUGCGGGAUGGGAGAGUAGAAUUCCUGGUGUAGCGGUGAAAUGCGUAGAUAUCAGGAGGAAUACCGGUGGUGUAGACGGCUCUCUGGACCGCAACUGACGCUGAGACACGAAAGCGUGGGUAGCAAACAGG
rnacentral:rRNA from 1 species